AAACCUCCACAAUGCACGAAAGCGCGAUGGGGCUACCCCGAGUGCCGUCUGAUGAAGAUGGCUUUUCACUGGUGUAAUGAGCCAGUGGAAGAAGGGGAGGGCAAGACUGGUGCCAGCAGCCGCGGUAA
rnacentral:rRNA from 1 species